CAAGAAGAUCCUCCAACUGGUGUGAGUGGUGCUCCUUCAGAAAACAACAUCAUGCUGUGGAACGCGGUGAUCUUUGGGAACAUUUAAGCUGGUCAUUGAGUUUUCAGAGGAAUAUCCUAACAAGCCUCCUACGGUUCGCUUCAUCUCCAAAAUGUUUCACCCGAACGUGUACGCAGAUGGCAGCAUAUGUUUAGACAUUCUUCAGAAUCGCUGGAGUCCCACGUAUGACGUCUCCUCCAUUCUGACGUCCAUCCAGGUGCAUGAUGGGUUUGUUCUUAUUACACUUCUG